CAGUAGCCGCGGGAAAACGUAGGGCGCAAGCGUUGUCCGGAAUUAUUGGGCGUAAAGAGCUCGUAGGCGGUCUGUCGCGUCUGGUGUGAAAUCCCGAGGCUCAACCUCGGGCUUGCAUCGGGUACGGGCAGACUAGAGUGCGGUAGGGGAGACUGGAAUUCCUGGUGUAGCGGUGGAAUGCGCAGAUAUCAGGAGGAACACCGAUGGCGAAGGCAGGUCUCUGGGCCGCAACUGACGCUGAGGAGCGAAAGCAUGGGGAGCGAACAGGAUUAGAUACCCCAGUAGUCCCUGUCUCUUAUAC
rnacentral:rRNA from 1 species